AUGCGGGAGGAUAUCCGUGACCUUGACCUCGCCCAUUGGAGAUUGGCUAGAGAGACAUGGAGAACUGAGCGAGGAAACAUGAGGGAGAUUAAGGCGCUGUAUGGAGAAAUAUUUAGGCUGCACCAACUCUUGGAGGAGAUUGGGGUGGAUAAAGGGGUGAUCAAGCAGCACUCCACCUCCAUUCUUUGUCCCGUCUCCCCGACACUGCCAGCUUUCCCCUGGUACAACCUCCACAGGUUCCUCGCCAACAGCCAUUCGGAGCCAGACCAGCAUGCUGCCGGCACCCAGAAGGACCCAUCUAAGAAACAUUCAAUCUUUCCCCCUCUGGACACACAGAGCUGCACCUCCCCUGAAAGAUGGCCUCAUUCAACGUCCAAGACGUCACACCCACACGCUUCACACCGAUUUGCUGUCCCAUCCCACCCCCUGGUUUCCGGCCCUCCUGCCCGGAUGAGACAGACCCAUCCGCAUGUCCACCCCAGGUCCCCAUUGACUGGCCAGGCAAAGGUCAAGGAUGAGGUCAAGAGGCCAGAGAUUGCAUCGUCUGAGGAAUUGUCUGAGGAAGUUCAACGGAGAGGUGCAGAAAUUGCAAAUAUGUAUAAAGCACAGCUGAUUGAGAGGAUGGCCCAAAAGAGAAAGGAAGAGAUUCUGAAGGAAAAGGGUAAACAACGAUGACAAGUACGAUGACACUGAGGCUUCCUGCUCCUCUGCAGUAGAACAAUCCAAUACCCCUGCCACAGCCCCCGAGCGCCCAGCCAGCCCAGACGCCACGCCAGUGGCCGCCCGAGAGGACACUCAGGGGGACACCCAGCAGGACCUGGUAGAGGUUGUGAAUGUGCUCAAGAGGCAAUCAUCUGAUCUAUACCUGCCUGACGACGUACGUGAGGAGUCACUCACAUGGAAAUCCAUUUACGAGGAGCUGUGCCCACUCGCUCACAGGGUGAACACAGAAGCUGACUACAUCAAGGCGCUCCGCGUCAUCACUGAGAAGGCUGUGACUCCCUCGUGCUCGUCUGAGGAUGAUGUGUCUCAGAGUGUGAGUGAGGACACAAGUCAGGAGGGGA
rnacentral:lncRNA from 8 species